AGGCAGCAGUGGGGAAUAUUGGACAAUGGGGGAAACCCUGAUCCAGCCAUGCCGCGUGUGUGAAGAAGCCUUCGGGUUGUAAAGCACUUUAAGCGAGGAGGAAGGUUUACUAGAUAAUACCUAGUAGAAUUGACGUUACUCGCAGAAUAAGCACCGGCUAACUCUGUGCCAGCAGCCGCGGUAAUACAGAGGGUGCAAGCGUUAAUCGGAAUUACUGGGCGUAAAGCGCGCGUAGGCGGUUUGUUAAGUCGGAUGUGAAAUCCCUGGGCUCAACCUAGGCACUGCAUCCGAUACUGGCUAACUAGAGUGUGGGAGAGGAAGGUAGAAUUCCAGGUGUAGCGGUGAAAUGCGUAGAGAUCUGGAGGAAUACCGAUGGCGAAGGCAGCCUUCUGGCCUAACACUGACGCUGAGGUGCGAAAGCAUGGGGAGCAAACAGGAUUAGAUACCCUGGUAGUCCAUGCUGUAAACGAUGUCAACUAGCCGUUGGGGACCUUGAGUCUUUAGUGGCGCAGCUAACGCGAUAAGUUGACCGCCUGGGGAGUACGGUCGCAAGACUAAAACUCAAAUGAAUUGACGGGGGC
rnacentral:rRNA from 1 species